rnacentral:rRNA from 1 species
AUUGAACGCUGGCGGCAUGCCUAACACAUGCAAGUCGAACGAGCGGCGGACGGGUGAGUAAUGUCUGAGAAACUGCCUGAUGGAGGGGGAUAACUACUGGAAACGGUAGCUAAUACCGCAUACCAUCAGAUGUUCCCAGAUGGGAGUAGCUGGUGGGUGGGGUAAUGGCUCACCUCGGCGACGAGCCCUAGCUGGUCUGAGAGGAUGACCAGCCACACGGGAACUGAGACACGGUACAGACUCCUACGUGAGGCAGCAUUGGGGAUGAUUGCACAAGGGGCGGAAGCCUGAUGCAGCCAAGCCGCGUGUGUGAAGAAGGCCUUCGGGUUGUAAAGCACUUUCAGCUAGGAGGCGGUACCCGCAGAAGAAGCACCGGCUAACUCCGUGCCAGCAGCCGCGGUAAUAC